UACGUAGGCAGCGAGCGUUGUUCGGAGUUACUGGGCGUAAAGCGUGCGUAGGCGGUGGUCCAAGUCUGGUGUGAAAUCUCCCGGCUUAACUGGGAGGGUGCGCCGGAAACUGGGCCGCUGGAGUACGGGAGAGGCAAGCGGAAUUCCAGGUGUAGCGGUGAAAUGCGUAGAUAUCUGGAGGAACACCCGUGGUGCAGACGGCUUGCUGGACCGUGACUGACGCUGAGGCACGAAAGCCAGGGGAGCGAACGGG
rnacentral:rRNA from 1 species